AAAAUUGAAAGGAGCUGAAGUUGAUUCGGUGGACGUGAAGACACGAGGUAAGGUGGAAGUGGAGAUGGCCGCGUGUGCGGGCGUUGAAAAAAUCCGGUCAACAAAAGCUUGAAGAUGGAGAAUUUGGUGGAGGUGGAAUCGUGUGAGUGGGUGAGGGGAGUCUCGGUGGAGAGAAAUGAAAGAGAUGAAAGUUGCAGAGGAAAAU
rnacentral:lncRNA from 1 species